rnacentral:rRNA from 1 species
AAAUUGACGGGGACCCGCACAAGCAGCGAGCAUGUGGUUAAUUCGAAGCAACGCGAAGAACCUUACCAGGGCUUGACAUGCCGCUGACCGGUUUAGAGAUAAACCUUUAUCCUUCGGGGUACAGCGGACACAGGUGGUGCAUGGUUGUCGUCAGCUCGUGUCGUGAGAUGUUGGGUUAAGUCCCGCAACGAGCGCAACCCCUACUGCCAGUUACUAACAGGUAACGCUGAGGACUCUGGCGGAACUGCCGGUGACAAACCGGAGGAAGGUGGGAUGACGUCAAGUCAUCAUGGCCCUUAUGUCCAGGGCUACACACGUGCUACAAUGGGUGAGACAGAGUGACGCGAAGCCGCGAGGUGGAGCAAAUCGCAGAAAAUCAUCCGUAGUUCGGAUUGGAGUCUGAAACCCGACUCCAUGAAGGUGGAAUCGCUAGUAAUCGCGCAUCAGCAUGGCGCGGUGAAUACGUUCCCGGGCCUU